UGAAGCGGUGGCUCAAUGGUAGAGCUUUCGACUCCAAUUAAAUCUUGGAAAUUCCACGGAAUAAGAUUGCAAUCGAAGGGUUGCAGGUUCAAUUCCUGUCCGUUUCAUUUUAUUAUU
rnacentral:tRNA from 1 species